UACGUAGGGCGCAAGCGUUAUCCGGAAUUACUGGGCGUAAAGCGUGCGCAGGCGGUGAUGUAAGACAGGUGUGAAAUCCCCGGGCUUAACCUGGGAACUGCAUUUGUGACUGCAUCGCUGGAGUGCGGCAGAGGGGGAUGGAAUUCCGCGUGUAGCAGUGAAAUGCGUAGAUAUGCGGAGGAACACCGAUGGCGAAGGCAAUCCCCUGGGCCUGCACUGACGCUCAUGCACGAAAGCGUGGGGAGCAAACAGG
rnacentral:rRNA from 1 species